UACGUAGGUGGCAAGCGUUGUCCGGAAUUAUUGGGCGUAAAGCGCGCGCAGGCGGCCUCUUAAGUCUGAUGUGAAAGCCCCCGGCUCAACCGGGGAGGGCCAUUGGAAACUGGUAGGCUUGAGUAUAGGAGAGAAGAGUGGAAUUCCACGUGUAGCGGUGAAAUGCGUAGAGAUGUGGAGGAACACCAGUGGCGAAGGCGACUCUUUGGCCUAUAACUGACGCUGAGGCGCGAAAGCGUGGGGAGCAAACAGG
rnacentral:rRNA from 1 species